AAACAGUAGUGCAAAUAGGCCGUACUGAUGUGUACACCAAAGACUAUUCCUGACACUCCUCUGCCCCGCUGUGUUCGCUCUGGCUGUGGUCGCUCCGAACUGUUUCGGCCCGUGGCAAAGCGAGUCAUCCUCGCUGCUGUCCAAGGCAUUUUGAGACGCAGCAUUUAUUUAAUGCUCAUAUGACCUAGUGCUGAAAAAAGGUUAUAUGAAAAAGUGUGAGGGUAGCGGUGGUGCGCUAAACUUGUUCUGUGAGCAGCUGGAUGUGAACGAUCGAUUUUCAACUGUGCGCGCAUGCACUGGUGUAAUUGAGCUGCGCUGCUAUACAUCUUUUUUUAUCAAUGUAACGAGUUGCGAGUCUAGUGCAGGCUGAGUUUUUUUUUUCCCAGCACCCCCUGCUGAGAAUACGUUCUCGCUGCUAUGGUUGCACCAGAUGUUAUAAACAUUAAACGGUCACAUAAAUCAUUACUAUUUUUAGAAAAUGUAUGUUUGUUUCAUAUAAUUGUAUUUGAAGUCCUGGUUUUCACUAGGGUUGCCGCGGUGUGGACAUUUUCACACCGAGUAAUACACUCGUCUCCACACCGGUAUUACCGAGUAUAAACGGUAUAAACUUUGAAACUAGGUCAACCGCCACACAAGCAUCGGUUUUUAGACCCUUCUCGUCCUUCAGUUGCCGCCAACGUUCGAAAGCAGCGCCUAGGAUUAUUCUUGAUUUCAGUUUUUCUCUUUCAGCGUUUUUAUUAUCAAUUACUCUCUGAAAAAGAGUUUUCCUUCUCUUUGCUGGUGGUGGUGGUGGUGGGGAUGGUGGCGUCUUGUCUGCCAUGGAAAUUGUCUUCUACUGCUAGGUCCAAAUGUGGAUUAACUAGUUCCAGUAGCUACCGCAGGAUAACAACAAACAGGAGCUUGCUCUGGGUCACGAGCUCUGGGUCACGAGUACUGCACGAAGGGGUCGCGCGCGGGGCGCGGGGGAGGGGGAGUGCAGUACGACCGUUUGAUUGACGUACUUACUGUCCAAUGAAACUCGGUGGCAAUGGAUAUGAUUGGCUGGAGUUUUUCGAGCCCUGCCCGUUCCACAGAUGAUUGACAAGUUUAAUUUUCAUGUCAGUACUUCUAACUCAGUGGCUGUAAGCGGGUUAUGAUAAGGAUUUCAAGUAAUUUUGCAAAAAUGGCCAAAAAAGCAAAUCACCUAUGCAACCUUUAAGCAACGACGGUUGAAGGGACGGCUACGGCGUUCGAGUGACACUUUGCGCACGCGAAUUCUAUGUUUACAUUUCCUGCCGUUGUAGCCCAACUGUCUACUACGGGAGAGCGACUGGUUUGCCGUAUUCAAUACUACGUUACAUUUCAAGCAGAUAUGUCCUCCGUUGCCCAAGAAGAUGCUAGAACACAUGAACCUGGACUGGAGCAUACUCACCAAAUAAAAAAAUUACAUUAAUUAAAUAAUAAUAUAAGCAAAUAAUUUUUAGAUGACUGGUGAAUAAAUAAAACAGAAUAUAAU